rnacentral:rRNA from 1 species
AGUGAACGCUGGCGGUAGGCCUAACACAUGCAAGUCGAACGGCAGCACAGUAAGAGCUUGCUCUUACGGGUGGCGAGUGGCGGACGGGUGAGGAAUACAUCGGAAUCUACUUUUUCGUGGGGGAUAACGUAGGGAAACUUACGCUAAUACCGCAUACGACCUACGGGUGAAAGCAGGGGAUCUUCGGACCUUGCGCGAUUGAAUGAGCCGAUGUCGGAUUAGCUAGUCGGCGGGGUAAAGGCCCACCAAGGCGACGAUCCGUAGCUGGUCUGAGAGGAUGAUCAGCCACACUGGAACUGAGACACGGUCCAGACUCCUACGGGAGGCAGCAGUGGGGAAUAUUGGACAAUGGGCGCAAGCCUGAUCCAGCCAUACCGCGUGGGUGAAGAAGGCCCUCGGGUUGUAAAGCCCUUUUGUUGGGAAAGAAAAGCAGCAGGUUAAUACCCCGCUGUUCUGACGGUACCCAAAGAAUAAGCACCGGCUAACUUCGUG